AUGGCCAUAUAACAUUGAAACACAAGUUCCCGUACGAUUUUCGAAGAUAAGCAACGUCGAACCCGGUCAGUACCUGAAUGGGUGACCGAUUAGGAAUACCAACUGCUGUA
rnacentral:rRNA from 1 species